rnacentral:rRNA from 1 species
AUUGAACGCUGGCGGCAGGCCUAACACAUGCAAGUCGAGCGGAACGGCGGACGGGUGAGUAAGGACUAGGAAUGGGCCUGGUAGUGGGGGAGAACGACCGGAAACGGGCGCUAAUACCGCAUAAUAUCAGAUGAGCCUAGGUCGGAUUAGCUAGUUGGUGGGGUAGAGGCCUACCAAGGCGACGAUCCGUAACUGGUCUGAGAGGAUGAUCAGUCACACUGGAACUGAGACACGGUCCAGACUCCUACGGGAGGCAGCAGUGGGGAAUAUUGGACAAUGGGCGAAAGCCUGAUCCAGCCAUGCCGCGUGUGUGAAGAAGGCCUUCGGAUUGUAAAGCACUUUAAGUUGGGAGGCGUUACCAACAGAAUAAGCACCGGCUAACUCCGUGCCAGCAGCCGCGGUAAUAC